GAUGAACGCUAGCGGCAGGCUUAAUACAUGCAAGUCGAACGGUAAGUUUGGUAGCAAUAUCAAACCAAGAGUGACGUACGGGUGCGUAACACGUAUGCAACCUACCUUGUACAGGAGUAUAGCUCGGGGAAACUCGAAUUAACCCUCCAUGAGAUCAUAGAAUGGCAUCAUUUAGUGAUUAAAACUCAGGUGGUACAAGGUGGGCAUGCGUCUGAUUAGUUAGNGGCGGGGUAAUGGCCCACCAAGACGAUGAUCAGUAGGGGACCUGAGAGGGUGAUCCCCCACACUGGCACUGAGAUACGGGCCAGA
rnacentral:rRNA from 1 species